rnacentral:siRNA from 1 species
AUAUGUCUGUGGAUGUCGGAUUCA